GGCGGGCGCCCCUCCCCCAGCCUCGCUGCCGCCUUGCAGUUUGAUCUCAGACGGCUGUGCUAGCAAUCAGUGAGACUCCGUGGGCGUAGGACCCUCCCAGCCAGGUGCCGGAUAUAAUCUCGUGGUGCGCCGGUUUUUAAGCCCGUCGGAAAAGCGCAGUAUUCAGGUGGGAGUGACCCGAUUUUCCAGGUGCCGUCUGUCACCCCUUUCUUUGACUAGGAAAGGGAACUCCCUGACCCCUUGCACUUCCCGAGUGAGGCAAUGCCUCGCCCUGCUUCAGCUCGCACAUGGUGCGCGCACCCACUGACCUGCGCCCACUGUCUGGCACUCCGUAGUGAGAUGAACCCGGUACCUCAGAUGGAAAUGCAGAAAUCACCCAUCUUCUGCGUCACUCAAGCUGGGAGCUGUAGACCGGAGCUGUUCCUAUUCGGCCAUCUUGGCUCCUCCGCUCUAUUUGCAGUUCUUAAAGGGCCCCAGGAUCCUCUAUUAAAUGUGUGGUCCAUGAACCAGCAGCUUCAGCAUGACCUGAGAGCUCAUAACCUCGUCUCUACAAAAAAUACAAAAAAAGUUAGCCAGGCAUGGUGGUACACGCCUAUGGUCUCAGCAACUUGGGAGGCUGAGAUUCAUAGCAAGUGAAACAUUCCAGAUGUUAAAAGCGUGGACAGUGAGGUCCAUGGACCGGCAGGAUCAGCAGCCCCAGAAGCUCCUUGGACCUGCAAGACCCUCCGGCCCCACCACAGCCCUACUGAACCAGGAUCAGACUUUAAAAAAGAAUCCAAUGCCAGUUUGAGAAGCCCAACUCAAAAAUCUAGACCAACAACCUGGUCUACCUUCCUGGGUCUCACUCCAUCACCUACGCUGGAAUGCAGUGGUGCAGUCACAGCUCACUGCAGCCUCAAUCUCCAGGGCUCAAGUGAUCCUCCAACCUGAGCCUCCUGAGUAUCUGGGACUACAGGUGCGUGCCACCAUAGUUGGCCAAAUUUUUUUAUUUUUUUGUAGAGACAGUGUCUUGCUAUGUUGCCCAGGCUGGUCUUGAACUCCUGGGCUCAAGUGAUCCACCCAUCUCUCUCUCCCAAAGUGCUGGGAUUACAGGUGUGAACCACUGCACCCAGCCUAGCCUUGGCUUUUCACAGGGAGUGGCAACUCCUCCUCCCAGAGCAGAGCUACUCCAAAGAUUUCUGCUGCUUCCAAUGUAGAUUUUCAAUGAUUUCAGAUCUACAUAAGAACGUAGUUACUGUUUAGGAGAAGCCAGCUUUCAUGGAGGAAACUGUAUUUGUGAUCCUGAUGAUUUUCCUUGAACAG
rnacentral:lncRNA from 1 species